AUUGAACGCUGGCGGCGUGCCUUACACAUGCAAGUCGAACGGUAACAGGUCUUCGGAUGCUGACGAGUGGCGAACGGGUGAGUAAUACAUCGGAACGUGCCUAGUAGUGGGGGAUAACUACUCGAAAGAGUGGCUAAUACCGCAUGAGAUCUACGGAUGAAAGCAGGGGAUCGCAAGACCUUGUGCUACUAGAGCGGCCGAUGGCAGAUUAGGUAGUUGGUGGGAUAAAAGCUUACCAAGCCGACGAUCUGUAGCUGGUCUGAGAGGACGAUCAGCCACACUGGGACGUAGACACGGCCCAGACUCCUACGGGAGGCAGCAGUGGGGAAUUUUGGACAAUGGGCGAAAGCCUGAUCCAGCAAUGCCGCGUGCAGGAUGAAGGCCUUCGGGUUGUAAACUGCUUUUGUACGGAACGAAAAGCCCCGGGUUAAUACCCUGGGGUCAUGACGGUACCGUAAGAAUAAGCACCGGCUAACUACGUGCCAGCCGCCGCCGCGG
rnacentral:rRNA from 1 species